UACAGAGGGUGCGAGCGUUAAUCGGAAUUACUGGGCGUAAAGCGCACGUAGGCGGCUUGGUAUGUCGGGUGUGAAAUCCCCGGGCUCAACCUGGGAACUGCAUCCGAAACUGCCUUGCUAGAGUAUGGGAGAGGGAAGUGGAAUUUCCGGUGUAGCGGUGAAAUGCGUAGAUAUCGAGAGGAACACCUGCGGCGAAGGCGGGUUGCUGGGCUGACACUGACGCUGAUUGUGCGAAAGCUAGGGGAGCGAACGGG
rnacentral:rRNA from 1 species